UGCUGAUGAAGAACGACACCGUUUCAGUGCAAAACAGAGCUGGAAACUGCGAAGCCAGCCACUGCAACGACAGUGUACAGGUUUAAGAGAGGGCGCGAGCGGGAGAGAUUGGAAGUCGAAUCCCCAACUGGAGCACCCACUAUGCUUCUUGUCCGAUCAACGGCAGUGGUUUUCGCAGGGUACUCAGGCAUGAGGCGAAAUGAAGUCCUUGUCCAGAAAUUUGGAAUGAACUACAACACACUGCCAUAUAUCAGGGAAAGGUGCUGUUUCUCAAUUAGAAGUCUGUAUUUUAGAGUCUUAAGAAUUAAGAAUUAAGAAUCAUAAAGUAGAAAUGGAGCAAAAUUAUUAUAUUCAUACAAUUUCAUUUUGAAUUUGGCCAACUUCCCGCCUUUGACAAGAAGUACAAGUCAGAUAUCUAAAAAUGUCAGGUCUUACACUCU